rnacentral:rRNA from 1 species
UACGGAGGAUCCGAGCGUUAUCCGGAUUUAUUGGGUUUAAAGGGUGCUCAGGCGGGCCAUUAAGUCGGCGGUGAAAUUUUGCGGCUCAACCGUAAAAGUGCCUUCGAUACUGGUGGUCUUGAGUGUGGAUGAGGUAGGCGGAAUUUGUGGUGUAGCGGUGAAAUGCAUAGAUAUCACGAGGAACUCCGAUUGCUAAGGCAGCUUACUAAGCCAUAACUGACGCUCAAGCACGAAGGCGUGGGGAUCAAACAGGAUUAGAUACCACGGUA